rnacentral:lncRNA from 1 species
UAACAGUCAUUUCAUCUCCUAAGUGUAUAACAGUCAUUUUACCCUAUGGGGGUAUUUCGAUCUUUUUACCCUAUGUGGGUAAUUCAGUCAUUUUACCCUAUGAGGGUAAUUCAAUCAUUUUAUCCUGUGGGGGUAAUUCUGUCAUUUUAUCCUAUAGGGGUAAUUUGGUUAUUUUACCCUGUGGGGGUAAUUCGGUCAUUUAUUGACCUCUCGAAAGGUCUGCAGUCGCCUCAAAUGACUCAGGUAACCUAAAUGGUCAUAACAGUGUAAAUGGGCCCAAGGCUCAAUACUCGGCCCAAGUGGGCUUACACGCUCAUGCGGCCCGCUCAACCCUUAAAUCGUGGAUUUCGUCCAUGUGGGGACCACAAGCCCAUCGAGCCGACACGGCCCAUUUCGGCCCAACGUAGCCC